rnacentral:rRNA from 1 species
GUACACGCUAGUGACUAGCAUAUCAAUAAGCGGAGGAAAAGAAACUAACAAGGAUUCCCCUAGUAACGGCGAGUGAAGCGGGAAGAGCUCAAAUUUGAAAUCUUAAAGGGUUUCCCUUUACGAAUUGUAGUUUAAAGAAGUGUUUUCUGUUGAGGUUUUGGUAAAAGUUCUUUGGAAUAGGACAUCAUAGAGGGUGAGAAUCCCGUAUUUGACCUUUACUUUCAACUUUGUGAUACACUUUCAAAGAGUCGGAUUGUUUGGGAAUGCAGUCCAAAAUGGGUGGUAAAUUUCAUCUAAAGCUAAAUAUUGGCGAGAGACCGAUAGCGAACAAGUACCGUGAGGGAAAGAUGAAAAGAACUUUGAAAAGAGAGUUAAACAGUACGUGAAAUUGUCAAAAGGGAAGCGUUUGACACCAGUGUUGUUUUUCUGAAAAUCAAUUAAAGAACUGUUUAUGCUAAGCUGUUUAGACUUUAUCAGCUAUCUGUUUAGUUUUGAGCUUUUCUUUAAUGCACUUUUCAGUUAACAAGUCAACAUCAAUUUCUUUUGCUGUAAAAAAGCUUGAGGAAGGUGGCUUGAGAUUCGUCUUAAGUGUUUAUAGCCUCUUGCCUAUGCAGUCGGAGAGAUUGAGGUCUGCAGCGUAGAUCCUUCGGGGCUAAAUGCAUUUGUGCUAAGUUAUAGCAUUUUAUAGACAACUUGUUGACUAUGAUUUGUCUUGUAGCUUACUCGCUUAUGUUAUUUUACCUACGCUUAGGAUGUUGACGCGCGUGUGUGCGUG